rnacentral:rRNA from 1 species
GACGAACGCUGGCGGCGUGCUUAACACAUGCAAGUCGAACGGAAAGGCCCUGCUUUUGUGGGGUGCUCGAGUGGCGAACGGGUGAGUAACACGUGAGUAACCUGCCCUUGACUUUGGGAUAACUUCAGGAAACUGGGGCUAAUACCGGAUAGGAGCUCCUGCUGCAUGGUGGGGGUUGGAAAGUUUCGGCGGUUGGGGAUGGACUCGCGGCUUAUCAGCUUGUUGGUGGGGUAGUGGCUUACCAAGGCUUUGACGGGUAGCCGGCCUGAGAGGGUGACCGGCCACAUUGGGCCUGAGAUACGGCCCAGACUCCUACGGGAGGCAGCAGUGGGGAAUAUUGCACAAUGGGCGGAAGCCUGAUGCAGCAACGCCGCGUGCGGGAUGACGGCCUUCGGGUUGUAAACCGAUUUCGCCUGUGACGAAGAGUGCGUGACGGUAAUGGGUAAAGAAGCACCGGCUAACUACGUG